rnacentral:rRNA from 1 species
AUUGAACGCUGGCGGCAGGCCUAACACAUGCAAGUCGAGCGGUAGCACAGAGAGCUUGCUCUCGGGUGACGAGCGGCGGACGGGUGAGUAAUGUCUGGGAAACUGCCUGAUGGAGGGGGAUAACUACUGGAAACGGUAGCUAAUACCGCAUAACGUCGCAAGACCAAAGUGGGGGACCUUCGGGCCUCAUGCCAUCAGAUGUGCCCAGAUGGGAUUAGCUAGUAGGUGGGGUAACGGCUCACCUAGGCGACGAUCCCUAGCUGGUCUGAGAGGAUGACCAGCGACACUGGAACUGAGACACGGUCGAGACUCCUACGGGAGGCAGCAGUGGGGAAUAUUGCACAAUGGGCGCAAGCCUGAUGCAGCCAUGCCGCGUGUGUGAAGAAGGCCUUCGGGUUGUAAAGCACUUUCAGCGGGGAGGAAGGCGGUGAGGUUAAUAACCUCAUCGAUUGACGUUACCCGCAGAAGAAGCACCGGCUAACUCCGUGCCAGCAGCCGCCGUAAAAC